GGGCUUAACUCUGGAACUGCCUGUGAUACCGCAGAACUUGAGUGCGAGAGAGGAGAGUGGAAUUGCCAGUGUAGAGGUGAAAUGCGUAGAUAUUGGGAGGAACACCGGUGGCGAAGGCGGCUCUCUGGCUCACUACUGACGAUGAGGCACGAAAGCGUGGGGAGCAAACAGGAUUAGAUACCCUGGUAGUCCACGCCGUAAACUAUGAAUGCCAGCUGUUAGGGGAUUUACUUCCUG
rnacentral:rRNA from 1 species